UUUGAACCGCAUGGUUCAAACAUAAAAGGUGGCUUCGGCUACCACUUACAGAUGGACCCGCGGCGCAUUAGCUAGUUGGUGAGGUAACGGCUCACCAAGGCAACGAUGCGUAGCCGACCUGAGAGGGUGAUCGGCCACACUGGGACUGAGACACGGCCCAGACUCCUACGGGAGGCAGCAGUAGGGAAUCUUCCGCAAUGGACGAAAGUCUGACGGAGCAACGCCGCGUGAGUGAUGAAGGUUUUCGGAUCGUAAAGCUCUGUUGUUAGGGAAGAACAAGUACCGUUCGAAUAGGGACGCACCUUGACGGUACCUAAC
rnacentral:rRNA from 1 species